rnacentral:rRNA from 1 species
UACGUAGGGGGCAAGCGUUGUCCGGAUUUAUUGGGCGUAAAGAGCGUGUAGGCGGCUUUGCAAGUCCGUUGUGAAAACUCGAGGCUCAACCUCGAGACGCCGGUGGAAACUGCAAAGCUAGAGUCCGGAAGAGGAGAGUGGAAUUCCUGGUGUAGCGGUGAAAUGCGCAGAUAUCAGGAAGAACACCGAUGGCGAAGGCAGGUCUCUGGGCCACUACUGACGCUGAGAAGCGAAAGCAUGGGGAGCGAACAGG